GUUGGGAUAGCUCAGUUGGUAGAGC
rnacentral:tRNA from 142 species